rnacentral:rRNA from 1 species
AGCGAACGCUGGCGGCAGGCUUAACACAUGCAAGUCGAGCGGGCGUAGCAAUACGUCAGCGGCAGACGGGUGAGUAACGCGUGGGAACAUACCUUUUGGUUCGGAACAACACAGGGAAACUUGUGCUAAUACCGGAUAAGCCCUUACGGGGAAAGAUUUAUCGCCGAAAGAUUGGCCCGCGUCUGAUUAGCUAGUUGGUGAGGUAAUGGCUCACCAAGGCGACGAUCAGUAGCNGGUCUGAGAGGAUGAUCAGCCACAUUGGGACUGAGACACGGCCCAAACUCCUACGGGAGGCAGCAGUGGGGAAUAUUGGACAAUGGGCGCAAGCCUGAUCCAGCCAUGCCGCGUGAGUGAUGAA